CUCUAUUAUAGUCUCUCUUCUCCAUCUCUAUCAGUAGGUCAUCUCUAUUAUAGUCUCUCUUCUCCAGCUCUAUCAGUAGGUCAUCUCUAUUAUAGUCUCUCUUCUCCAGCUCUAUCAGUAGGUCAUCUCUAUUAUAGUCUCUCUUCUCCAGCUCUAUCAGUAGGUCAUCUCUAUUAUAGUCUCUCUUCUCCAGCUCUAUCAGUAGGUCAUCUCUAUUAUAGUCUCUCUUCUCCAGCUCUAUCAGUAGGUCAUCUCUAUUAUAGUCUCUCUUCUCCAGCUCUAUCAGUAGGUCAUCUCUAUUAUAGUCUCUCUUCUCCAGCUCUAUCAGUAGGUCAUCUCUAUUAUAGUCUCUCUUCUCCAGCUCUAUCAGUAGGUCAUCUCUAUUAUAGUCUCUCUUCUCCAGCUCUAUCAGUAGGUCAUCUCUAUUAUAGUCUCUCUUCUCCAGCUCUAUCAGUAGGUCAUCUCUAUUAUAGUCUCUCUUCUCCAGCUCUAUCAGUAGGUCAUCUCUAUUAUAGUCUCUCUUCUCCAGCUCUAUCAGUAGGUCAUCUCUAUUAUAGUCUCUCUUCUCCAGCUCUAUCAGUAGGUCAUCUCUAUUAUAGUCUCUCUUCUCCAGCUCUAUCAGUAGGUCAUCUCUAUUAUAGUCUCUCUUCUCCAGCUCUAUCAGUAGGUCAUCUCUAUUAUAGUCUCUCUUCUCCAGCUCUAUCAGUAGGUCAUCUCUAUUAUAGUCUCUCUUCUCCAGCUCUAUCAGUAGGUCAUCUCUAUUAUAGUCUCUCUUCUCCAGCUCUAUCAGUAGGUCAUCUCUAUUAAGAUACUUAACAGUA